rnacentral:rRNA from 1 species
UGCAGAGGGUGCGAGCGUUAAUCGGAAUUACUGGGCGUAAAGGGUGCGUAGGCGGCGCGGUAAGUCGGGUGUGAAAUCUCGGAGCUUAACUCCGAAACUGCAUUCGAUACUGCCGUGCUUGAGGACUGGAGAGGAGACUGGAAUUUACGGUGUAGCGGUGAAAUGCGUAGAUAUCGUAAGGAAGACCAGUGGCGAAGGCGGGUCUCUGGACAGUUCCUGACGCUGAGGCACGAAGGUCAGGGGAGCAAACGGG